UUCAGUGGGGGUGGCAAAUGGUGGACAAACUGUGCUUUUUUAUCAGCUUCAGCUGGGAUACAUUCUUGUAAGCCUGUAAAUCUUGUGUUCAUCGAUGCUGAAUUCACAACAUGCGAGCCAUUAUUAUGGGGAUACACUUAAAGCCUGAAGCUAUAAAGAAGUCACAAUAUCCAGCCAGAUCUAUUGGUCUAUAUGUACAGCUUUGAAUAUAAACCAGGUUACCAGCUUACCAAUCUGUUACACUGGGCAUGUCAUGGGAGAAGCAAUAUUAUUUGGAAAAGUCACAAAUUAGUAUGGUGUUGCAUUUUAAGGGAUGAUUGAUCCUGCCAUGGAUUUUUCAUUUGCCCAAUCAUUCCACUGCCACCGGAACUCAUCAGUUGAUGAAUAUCAUUUCAUUGUGAGCUCAUUUCUUCCAUUUUUGUUUAAGUUCAUUGAUAAAUUCUUGGACAAUGGCAUGUUAACGUUCAUCAAAAAAGAAAAAAAUUCUUGGGCAAUGGCUAAAAGUACUGGUGUUUUAAUGCUACUGUACAGUUUUUAUUACUGCAUAUUUCUCUCAUUGUUCAAACAAAACCGUAUAUGCAUAUAUGUUUCGAUUUUGA